rnacentral:rRNA from 1 species
ACUCCUACGGGAGGCAGCAGUGGGGAAUAUUGCACAAUGGGGGGAAACCCUGAUGCAGCCAUGCCGCGUGUGUGAAGAAGGCCUUCGGGUUGUAAAGCACUUUCAGUAGGGAGGAAGGUAGUGUAGUUAACACCUGCAUUAUUUGUACGUUACCUACAGAAGAAGCACCGGCUAACUCCGUGCCAGCAGCCGCGGUAAGUACGGAGGGUGCGAGCGUUAAUCGGAAUUACUGGGCGUAAAGCGCAUGCAGGCGGCCUGUUAAGUCAGAUGUGAAAGCCCGGGGCUUAACCUCGGAAUUGCAUUUGAAACUGGCAGACUAGAGUCUGUAGAGGGGUUAGAAUUUCGA